rnacentral:rRNA from 1 species
GAUGAACGCUGGCGGCGUGCCUAAUACAUGCAAGUCGAGCGAACGGACGAGAAGCUUGCUUUUCUGAUGUUAGCGGCGGACGGGUGAGUAACACGUGGAUAACCUACCUAUAAGACUGGGAUAACUUCGGGAAACCGGAGCUAAUACCGGAUAAUAUUUUGAACCGCAUGGUUCAAAAGUGAAAGACGGUCUUGCUGUCACUUAUAGAUGGAUCCGCGCUGCAUUAGCUAGUUGGUAAGGUAACGGCUUACCAAGGCAACGAUGCAUAGCCGACCUGAGAGGGUGAUCGGCCACACUGGAACUGAGACACGGUCUAGACGCCUACGGGAGGCAGCAGUAGGGAAUCUUCCGCAAGGGGCGAAAGCCUGACGGAGCAACGCCGCGUGAGUGAGGAAGGUCUUCGGAUCGUAAAACUCUGUUAUUAGGGAAGAACAGAUGUGUAAGUAACUGUGCACAUCUUGACGGUACCUAAUCAGAAAGCCACGGCUAACUACGU